GAAUGCCACAGAGGGUGAUAGCCCCGUACGGUGUUGACUCGAUACAGAGUCCUAACAUGGAGUCGAGUUGUUUGGGAAUGCAGCUCAAAUGGGUGGUAUGCUCCAUCUAAGGCUAAAUAUUUGCGAGAGACCGAUAGCGAACAAGUACUGUGAAGGAAAGAUGAAAAGAACUUUGAAAAGAGAGUGAAAUAGUACGUGAAAUUGUUGAAAUGGAAGGGUAGGCCGCUAACCAUGUAGGACCGUGUUUGGGGGGAAGAUAAAUGCUGUAGAAUGUGGCUCCUCGGAG
rnacentral:rRNA from 1 species